CUUGUCUGAGGAUGCUUGUAAGAAAGAGACCACCAAGUUACCUGGUGACACAUGGUGCUAGCUGGGAAAUGGUCCCAUGCAACAGAAUAGGCUUAGUUCCAGGCUUCAAAUGGAACAAUUCAGAUGCUGCCCAACCCCCAGCUAUUUGAAUCCUGGAAUAGUGUGGGGAGUGAGAGGGCUCAAACCUCUAACCUUGGCGUAUCGGGACAACACUCUAACCAACUGAACUACUCGGCCAGGCCUAUAAUAACUUGAUCAUCUGGUGAUUUAAAAGUCACAGGUAUGUGCCUAAGAAAAUAACUAAAAGAGCAAAAUAUGUUACACUUGCAUUUAAUGCAUGAGAAUUUGUGUUAACUAUAGAACCACUAAAGAUUUGAUUGCUUAGCAAUUCAUUCUAAGACUUAGUAUAAGACCUGUAUUUUUUUUUUUUUUAAAUAAAAAGACACCCAUUCUUAAAUAAGGAUUUAUCACUUUAUUGACCUGGACUGAUACAAACAAGCCAAUUGCCAGUGGCAAUCAGGUCCACAUUAUUGAAGACUGUAUUU